rnacentral:rRNA from 1 species
AACGAACGCUGGCGGCAUGCCUAACACAUGCAAGUCGAACGAUCCCUUCGGGGAUAGUGGCGCACGGGUGCGUAACGCGUGGGAAUCUGCCCUUGGGUUCGGAAUAACAGUUAGAAAUGACUGCUAAUACCGGAUGAAGUCUUCGGACCAAAGAUUUAUCGCCCAGGGAUGAGCCCGCGUAGGAUUAGGUAGUUGGUGAGGUAAAGGCUCACCAAGCCGACGAUCCUUAGCUGGUCUGAGAGGAUGAUCAGCCACACUGGGACUGAGACACGGCCCAGACUCCUACGGGAGGCAGCAGUGGGGAAUAUUGGACAAUGGGCGCAAGCCUGAUCCAGCAAUGCCGCGUGAGUGAUGAAGGCCUUCGGGUCGUAAAGCUCUUUUACCCGGGAUGAUAAUGACAGUACCGGGAGAAUAAGCUCCGGCUAACUCCGUGCCAGCCGCCGCUGUAAGAC